AUGGACUGGACCUGGAGAAUUCUUUUCCUGGUGGCAGUGGCUGCAGGUGUGAACUCCCAAGUACAGCUGGUGCAGUUGGGGCCUGAGGUGGGAAAACCUGGGACAUCAGUGAAGAUCUUCUACAAGGCGUCCGGAUACACUUUCACUGCCAACUUGAUGAGCUGGGUGCGACAGGCCCUGGGACAAGGGCUCGAGUGGAUGGGAGACCUAUACCCUUACAAUGAUGUUACAAGCUAUGCACAAAAGUUCCAAGGCAGACUCACAAUCACUGUAGACAAGUCCACGACCACAGCCUUCAUGGAACUGAGCAGGCUGAGCACCGAGGACUUGGCCGUGUAUUACUGUGCGAGACACACAGUAGGACCCAGUGAGUAUAGCCAGGAUUGGGGGCAGGAGACUCUGCACUUUCGUCAAGUCGAUUACUUAUAA